rnacentral:lncRNA from 10 species
GCAGGUUCACCCUCAGUCUGUGUGGGCACUGUCUAAUCAGCUGCCAGUGCAGCUAGAAUAAAGCAGGCAGAAGAAGUUGGAAAGAGCAGACUUGCUGAGUCUUCUGGCCUUCAUCUUUCUCCUGUGCAGGAUGCUUCCUGCCCUCAAACUUCAGACUCCAAGUUCUCCAGCUUUUGGUUUCUUGGACUUACACCAGUGAUUUGCCAGGGACUCUCGGGCCUACUACCACAGACUGAAGGCUGCACUGUUGGCUUCCCUACUUUUGAAGUUUGGGGGCUGGCUUCCUAGUUCCUCAGCUUGUGGAUGACCUACUGUGGGACUUCACCUCGUGAUAGAUAAGAAAAGGUCAAAAACUGACAUAGUAACUAAGGAAUGAAUUUAGAUCCCAACAUCAUUGAGACAACGUGGCAAGCAGUGUCUUUCAAUAGGAAGACAGUAUAUCUAGGAGGAACCAGAGAGUCACUUCCAGCAGUGAAGGAGAAAACUUUCAAAUAGCCCCUCUGCAUCUCCUACCUGAUGGUUAAUGCUGGCUGAGGAUUUCAGUGACAAUUCCUAAUUAAGCAGCUAUAACUGCAAGUGGACAACACUUGUAAAUUCAGCUCUUCUUUUCCUCAAGCCUUACUUUCCUGGAUGCACAAAAGACCAACAAAACACUGGGAUCAAGGAGAGACGCAGCUUUUGUAUAAAUGAAAACCAAAUAUAGCAAUAUAUCAGAGGUCACAAUCAUGACUGACACAAGUUAGUGAACUACCAAUAUCCAGUGAGACUGGAAUGCUCUCCAGUGGCAUCCAUGAGACCCUAGUCUGUAUGGGUAGAGGCUGCUCACUUCCCCUUCUGCAGUCUCAUGGAUUGGAAUCCUUCCCCGCCCUGUGGCCCCACCACCCUCUGCCUCUGUGCCUAAUCUUGUUUUUCACUUCUUCAAACUGCUGGCCAGAAUUCUUUUUCAACCUGGAUAGAUCAUCCUAUAACCACAACUCUGUGGUUCAACAUGGAUAAUACCUGCUGCUAAGUCUUGCAUUUAAGGGUUGUAUACCUGCCAUUUUUCUGUCUUCCUGUGACCCUUCUUCAUCUGGAAUAGAGAAAAUCAGCAUGGCAAGAUGUCCUGGGUAUCCUACCUGUCUCUGGUGAAGGAGGAGAAAAUGGUGAUUCCUACAGGGGUGAAGAAAAGAUCAAUUAUCUGCAGCACACACCAGGGUGGUCAGAUUGGAAGAAGGUGCCCACCAAGUGUCUUUUACUGCUGAGAGAAUGAACAAAAGCACACUUUAUAUUAUACUGAUUUUCCAUGAAGGUACUAUAAUCAGAAGAUAAUAAUGUGUUUUUAUUAACUCAUAUCAUAAAUAUAAGCGUUUUGCCCUAUAACUUCUUAGAAUUGCUAUGCAGUGAUGAUAAGUCUUUAGACAGGUUCAUAUUGUCCUGUCAUCUGAAUUUCUCAUCACAGAGUCUAUGAUCCUAUAUAAUACAUUAUGCAGAUGUUUCAUACACUAUAUUAGUUAGCAUGUGCUUUCAUUUAAAAGUGGGGCCAAUGUUUCCCUUUCCUGCAUAAAACAUUUGGGCCUAACUCAAAUGGAUAUUUUCUAAGCCAACCUGGUGACAUGGUAAUGCAUGAAAUUGUGAAGAGUAAAGUACAUAGUAAUUUAUGAAAAGCUUAGAAUUUAUAUUCCCUUUCCUGGAGUACAACAAUAACCCUAAAAAGAAACAAGAAAACUCAUCUUUUCCUCUAGCAAAUUGCAAGUUCUUGGCAAGAGGAAUAUGCACAUUAAAGAAACACAGGGAUAAAGGUCAUCUCCAGUCUGAAAUUACUUAAUAGUCCUGUUUUCCCAAAACAAACAAGAACUCACCCUGCAGAAGGGCUAUGGGAAAGAAGAAAAAACAAUUAUCCCCAUCUUCUAUAGACUUAUCUACAGAGCAGAUGCCAGGUUCCGUCUCAAGCUCUUUCUUCUGCUGGUCCAAACCUAGCCAUUUGUUAGCAAUUUGAAAAGAAGAUUGUAAAGCCAAAUGACAGACAGACACUGUUCGUACUCUGUAUUUAGAAUGGCCCAUUGUUAGUACUAUCCCAUUAUAAGAAAUAAGUUGUCUUUGUGUCCACUUGAAUUAACUAGUUUAACCUCAUUACCUACUUACUUGUUUUUAGACCUUUU